GCCAGACUCCUACGGGAGGCAGCAGUGGGGAAUAUUGCACAAUGGGGGAAACCCUGAUGCAGCAACGCCGCGUGAGUGAAGAAGUAUUUCGGUAUGUAAAGCUCUAUCAGCAGGGAAGAAAAUGACGGUACCUGAGUAAGAAGCCCCGGCUAACUACGUGCCAGCAGCCGCGGUAAUACGUAGGGGGCAAGCGUUAUCCGGAUUUACUGGGUGUAAAGGGAGCGUAGACGGCGAUGCAAGUCUGAAGUGAAAGCCCGGGGCUCAACCCCGGGACUGCUUUGGAAACUGUAUGGCUGGAGUGCUGGAGAGGCAAGCGGAAUUCCUAGUGUAGCGGUGAAAUGCGUAGAUAUCAGGAGGAACACCGGCGGUGAAGGCGGCCUGCUGGACCGUGACUGACGUUGAGGCUCGAGAGCGUGGGGAGCAAACAGGAUUAGAUACCCCAGUA
rnacentral:rRNA from 1 species